rnacentral:rRNA from 1 species
UACGAAGGGGGCUAGCGUUGCUCGGAAUUACUGGGCGUAAAGCGUGCGCAGGCGGCUUUGCAAGACAGAUGUGAAAUCCCCGGGCUUAACCUGGGAACUGCAUUUGUGACUGCAUGGCUGGAGUGCGGCAGAGGGGGAUGGAAUUCCGCGUGUAGCAGUGAAAUGCGUAGAUAUGCGGAGGGACACCGAUGGCGAAGGCAAUCCCCUGGGCCUGCACUGACGCUCAUGCACGAAAGCGUGGGGAGCAAACAGG